rnacentral:rRNA from 1 species
AACAAACGCUGGCGGCGUGCCUAACACAUGCAAGUCGAACGGCAGCACAGGAGAGCUUGCUCUCUGGGUGGCGAGUGGCGGACGGGUGAGGAAUACAUCGGAAUCUACCUUUUCGUGGGGGAUAACGUAGGGAAACUUACGCUAAUACCGCAUACGACCUACGGGUGAAAGUGGGGGACCGCAAGGCCUCACGCGAUUAGAUGAGCCGAUGUCCGAUUAGCUAGUUGGCGGGGUAAUGGCCCACCAAGGCGACGAUCGGUAGCUGGUCUGAGAGGAUGAUCAGCCACACUGGAACUGAGACACGGUCCAGACUCCUACGGGAGGCAGCAGUGGGGAAUAUUGGACAAUGGGCGCAAGCCUGAUCCAGCCAUACCGCGUGGGUGAAGAAGGCCGUCGGGUUGUAAAGCCCUUUUGUUGGGAAAGAAAUCCUGUCGAUUAAUACUCGGUGGGGAUGACGGUACCCAAAGAAUAAGCACCGGCUAACUUCGUGCCAGCCGCCGCAGUAACAC